UACAGAGGUCUCAAGCGUUGUUCGGAUUCAUUGGGCGUAAAGGGCGCGUAGGCGGCGGGGUAAGUCGGGUGUGAAAUCUCAGAGCUCAACUCUGAAGUGGCACUUGAUACUGCUCUGCUAGAGGACUGGAGAGGAGAUUGGAAUUCACGGUGUAGCAGUGAAAUGCGUAGAUAUCGUGAGGAAGACCGGUGGCGAAGGCGGAUCUCUGGACAGUUCCUGACGCUGAGGCGCGAAGGCCAGGGGAGCAAACGGG
rnacentral:rRNA from 1 species